rnacentral:rRNA from 1 species
GACGAACGCUGGCGGCGUGCCUAAUACAUGCAAGUAGAACGCUGAAGAGAGGAGCUUGCUCUUCUUGGAUGAGUUGCGAACGGGUGAGUAACGCGUAGGUAACCUGCCUGGUAGCGGGGGAUAACUAUUGGAAACGAUAGCUAAUACCGCAUAAAAUGGAUUAUCGCAUGAUAAUCCAUUGAAAGGUGCAAAUGCAUCACUACCAGAUGGACCUGCGUUGUAUUAGCUAGUUGGUGAGGUAACGGCUCACCAAGGCGACGAUACAUAGCCGACCUGAGAGGGUGAUCGGCCACACUGGGACUGAGACACGGCCCAGACUCCUACGGGAGGCAGCAGUAGGGAAUCUUCGGCAAUGGACGGAAGUCUGACCGAGCAACGCCGCGUGAGUGAAGAAGGUUUUCGGAUCGUAAAGCUCUGUUGUAAGAGAAGAACGAGUGUGAGAGUGGAAAGUUCACACUGUGACGGUAUCUUACCAGAAAGGGACGGCUAACUACGUGCCAGCAGCCGCGGUAAUACGUAGGUCCCGAGCGUUGUCCGGACUUAUUGGGCGUAAAGCGAGCGCAGGCGGUUAGAUAAGUCUGAAGUUAAAGGCUGUGGCUUAACCAUAGUACGCUUUGGAAACUGUUUAACUUGAGUGCAAGAGGGGAGAGUGGAAUUCCAUGUGUAGCGGUGAAAUGCGUAGAUAUAUGGAGGAACACCGGUGGCGAAAGCGGCUCUCUGGCUUGUAACUGACGCUGAGGCUCGAAAGCGUGGGGAGCAAACAGGAUUAGAUACCCUGGUAGUCCACGCCGUAAACGAUGAGUGCUAGGUGUUAGACCCUUUCCGGGGUUUAGUGCCGCAGCUAACGCAUCAAGCACUCCGCCUGGGGAGUACGACCGCAAGGUUGAAACUCAAAGGAAUUGACGGGGGCCCGCACAAGCGGUGGAGCAUGUGGUUUAAUUCGAAGCAACGCGAAGAACCUUACCAGGUCUUGACAUCCCUCUGACCGCUCUAGAGAUAGAGUUUUCCUUCGGGACAGAGGUGACAGGUGGUGCAUGGUUGUCGUCAGCUCGUGUCGUGAGAUGUUGGGUUAAUCCCGCAACGAGCGCAACCCUAUUGUUAGUUGCCAUCAUUCAGUUGGGCACUCUAGCGAGACUGCCGGUAAUAAACCGGAGGAAGGUGGGGAUGACGUCAAAUCAUCAUGCCCCUUAUGACCUGGGCUACACACGUGCUACAAUGGCUGGUACAACGAGUCGCAAGCCGGUGACGGCAAGCUAAUCUCUUAAAGCCAGUCUCAGUUCGGAUUGUAGGCUGCAACUCGCCUACAUGAAGUCGGAAUCGCUAGUAAUCGCGGAUCAGCACGCCGCGGUGAAUACGUUCCCGGGCCUUGUACACACCGCCCGUCACACCACGAGAGUUUGUAACACCCGAAGUCGGUGAGGUAACCAUUUGGAGCCAGCCGCCUAAGGUGGGAUAGAUGAUUGGGGUGAAGUCGUAACAAGGUAGACGGAUCCUCUAGAGAUAU